GACGAACGCUGGCGGCGUGCUUAACACAUGCAAGUCGAACGGAAAGGCCCUGCUUUUGUGGGGUGCUCGAGUGGCGAACGGGUGAGUAACACGUGAGUAACCUGCCCUUGACUUUGGGAUAACUUCAGGAAACUGGGGCUAAUACCGGAUAGGAGCUCCUGCUGCAUGGUGGGGGUUGGAAAGUUUCGGCGGUUGGGGAUGGACUCGCGGCUUAUCAGCUUGUUGGUGGGGUAGUGGCUUACCAAGGCUUUGACGGGUAGCCGGCCUGAGAGGGUGACCGGCCACAUUGGGACUGAGAUACGGCCCAGACUCCUACGGGAGGCAGCAGUGGGGAAUAUUGCACAAUGGGCGGAAGCCUGAUGCAGCAACGCCGCGUGCGGGAUGACGGCCUUCGGGUUGUAAACCGCUUUCGCCUGAGACGAAGCGGGAGUGACGGUAAUGGGUAAAGAAGCACCGGCUAACUACGUG
rnacentral:rRNA from 1 species